GGAGUUGUGGCUCAGUGGUAGAGCACUCGCCUAGCCCGUGUGAGGUACUGGGUUCAAUGCUCAGCACCA
rnacentral:tRNA from 1 species